ACAGCAGCCGCCACGGGAAUACGUAGGGUGCAAGCGUUAAUCGGAAUUACUGGGCGUAAAGCGUGCGCAGGCGGUUAUAUAAGACAGAUGUGAAAUCCCCGGGCUCAACCUGGGAACUGCAUUUGUGACUGUAUAGCUAGAGUACGGCAGAGGGGGAUGGAAUUCCGCGUGUAGCAGUGAAAUGCGUAGAUAUGCGGAGGAACACCGAUGGCGAAGGCAAUCCCCUGGGCCUGUACUGACGCUCAUGCACGAAAGCGUGGGGAGCAAACAGGAUUAGAUACCCCUGUAGUCCCUGUCUCUUAUAC
rnacentral:rRNA from 1 species